AUUAUGGCUCAGGAUGAACGCUGGCGGCGUGCCUAAUACAUGCAAGUCGAGCGAGGUAGCUUGCUACCUAGACGGCGAACGGGUGAGUAACACGUAGGUAACCUGCCUUUAAGACUGGGAUACCCGAGCGAAAGUUCGGAUAAUACCGGAUAACAACGGAGAUCGCAUGAUUUCCGCUUGAAAGGUGCGUUUGCACCACUUUUUAGAUGGAACCUGCGGCACAUUAGCUAGUUGGUGAGAUAACAGCCCACCAAGGCGAGGAUGUGUAGCCGACCUGAGAGGGUGACCGGCCACAAUGGGACUGAGACACGGCCCAUACUCCUACGGGAGGCAGCAGUAGGGAGUUUUCGGCAAUGGGCGAAAGCCUGACCGAGCAACGCCGCGUGAAGUGAUGACGGUCUUCGGAUUGUAAAGCUCUGUUGUAAGGGACGAACACCACGGAUAGGAAAUGAUCCGUGUUUGACGGUACCUUACCAGAAAGUGACGGCUAACUACGUGCCAGCCGCCGC
rnacentral:rRNA from 1 species